GGAGUAUCCUUAGGACCAGCUGCCAAAAGAGAAAAAACAGUCAAGUAAUUAGAGGCAAGUGCUUAUAACAUAGUAAUAAUUUUAGGCUUUAUAUUAAUUCAUAGAUGGCUGUAUAUACCUUCAUCAUUACUUCUGGUGCAAGGUCAUUCAAAAAAAUAAAAUAAAACAUGGCAACUGCUAUGCUUAAGCCAAACAUCUAAAGGGUAUGGUCUAUCAUGCCUCCCAAUAAAUGCAGCAAAAAGAAAGGCUUAAAUGCUGGCUGAACAAGUCUUCAUUAAAAAGGCGAUAAACUUUAGUAACAUACCUACAGUGGGUCUUGG
rnacentral:misc_RNA from 1 species